rnacentral:rRNA from 1 species
GAUAAACGCUGGCGGCGUGCCUAAUACAUGCAAGUCGAGCGAACGGACGAGAAGCUUGCUUCUCUGAUGUUAGCGGCGGACGGGUGAGUAACGCGUGGAUAACCUACCUAUAAGACUGGGAUAACUUCGGGAAACCGGAGCUAAUACCGGAUAAUAUUUUGAACCGCAUGGUUCAAAAGUGAAAGACGGUCUUGCUGUCACUUAUAGAUGGAUCCGCGCUGCAUUAGCUAGUUGGUAAGGUAACGGCUUACCAAGGCAACGAUGCAUAGCCGACCUGAGAGGGUGAUCGGCCACACUGGAACUGAGACACGGUCCAGACUCCUACGGGAGGCAGCAGUAGGGAAUCUUCCGCAAUGGGCGAAAGCCUGACGGAGCAACGCCGCGUGAGUGAUGAAGGUCUUCGGAUCGUAAAACUCUGUUAUUAGGGAAGAACAUAUGUGUAAGUAACUGUGCACAUCUUGACGGUACCUAAUCAGAAAGCCACGGCUAACUACGUGCCAGCAGCCGCGGUAAUACGUAGGUGGCAAGCGUUAUCCGGAAUUAUUGGGCGUAAAGCGCGCGUAGGCGGUUUUUUAAGUCUGAUGUGAAAGCCCACGGCUCAACCGUGGAGGGUCAUUGGAAACUGGAAAACUUGAGUGCAGAAGAGGAAAGUGGAAUUCCAUGUGUAGCGGUGGAAUGCGCAGAGAUAUGGAGGAACACCAGUGGCGAAGGCGACUUUCUGGUCUGUAACUGACGCUGAUGUGCGAAAGCGUGGGGAUCAAACAGGAUUAGAUACCCUGGUAGUCCACGCCGUAAACGAUGAGUGCUAAGUGUUAGGGGGUUUCCGCCCCUUAGUGCUGCAGCUAACGCAUUAAGCACUCCGCCUGGGGAGUACGACCGCAAGGUUGAAACUCAAAGGAAUUGACGGGGACCCGCACAAGCGGUGGAGCAUGUGGUUUAAUUCGAAGCAACGCGAAGAACCUUACCAAAUCUUGACAUCCUUUGACAACUCUAGAGAUAGAGCCUUCCCCUUCGGGGGACAAAGUGACAGGUGGUGCAUGGUUGUCGUCAGCUCGUGUCGUGAGAUGUUGGGUUAAGUCCCGCAACGAGCGCAACCCUUAAGCUUAGUUGCCAUCAUUAAGUUGGGCACUCUAAGUUGACUGCCGGUGACAAACCGGAGGAAGGUGGGGAUGACGUCAAAUCAUCAUGCCCCUUAUGAUUUGGGCUACACACGUGCUACAAUGGACAAUACAAAGGGCAGCGAAACCGCGAGGUCAAGCAAAUCCCAUAAAGUUGUUCUCAGUUCGGAUUGUAGUCUGCAACUCGACUACAUGAAGCUGGAAUCGCUAGUAAUCGUAGAUCAGCAUGCUACGGUGAAUACAAUCCCGGGUCU